rnacentral:rRNA from 1 species
GCGAACGCUGGCGGCAGGCUUCACACAUGCAAGUCGAGCGGGCACCUUCGGGUGUCAGCGGCAGACGGGUGAGUAACACGUGGGAACGUACCCUUCGGUUCGGAAUAACGCUGGGAAACUAGCGCUAAUACCGGAUACGCCCUUAUGGGGAAAGGUUUACUGCCGAAGGAUCGGCCCGCGUCUGAUUAGCUAGUUGGUGGGGUAACGGCCUACCAAGGCGACGAUCAGUAGCUGGUCUGAGAGGAUGAUCAGCCACACUGGGACUGAGACACGGCCCAGACUCCUACGGGAGGCAGUAGUGGGGAAUAUUGGACAAUGGGCGCAAGCCUGACCCAGCCAUGCCGCGUGAGUGAUGAAGGCCUUAGGGUUGUAAAGCUCUUUUGUCCGGGACGAUAAUGACGGUACCGGAAGAAUAAGCCCCGGCUAACUUCGUG